CUUUUUUUAAAGGUGUUUUUCUGUAUAUUUUAUCUUUCUUUAGAAAUAUAUUUAUACAUCCCUUUUAGAACAAAAGAUGUUUUCAUCCCAUGAGAAGAAAAAAAAACCAAUGCCCGAAAAUUAAUAUAGAUAAAUAUUCUAUACCUUUGAAAUUUCAUCCCUUUACAGAACAGGUGAACUCUGACUUGGGUUGUAAUGUUACAUAACAAUAUAGUGUCAGGUAGAGGUGCAAACCAAAAGCAACCAGGUGACAUUAAACAUCCUGUGUGUACAUGUAUUACCAGAGUUUAAAUUUUGCGAUAUACAAAAGUUUUCAUAAAUGUACAAAUAAAUUUUCUCUGUAUUUCCCGUUUCAAAUCAGAAGAAGU
rnacentral:lncRNA from 1 species